ACUUUUUCUAAUACCCCGAGAUGUUGAAAGUCGUUCCCUUGUAUGGUCCUGCUAUGAGGGAGUCCCUCAACCUUGUUGCCGAGAACCAAAGGCUUCUCGAGGCUUCCAUCCGUUAAAAGGAGCUGGAGAAAAUGGCCCGUCUUUGGACCCAGAUUCAAGGAGAGCAAGAGCGAUCUCGAGAAAUCGAGAGGCAGUUGAAUGAUGCUAAGGCCGAGAUAUCUAGCUUAGAACGAGAUUCUGCUUCCGAAUUGCGUUGUUUAUCUAGAAAACUAAGGGAUGAAGAAGGUCAUGUGGCUACACUCCAACAAAAUAUUUAUAACAAGGAUGGUAAAAUUGACCGCCAGGCCUCCGAGAUUAAAGAACUUCGAUCCGAGCUCACUCGCUAUCAAAGAUUCGAAUAUGUGCCUGAAGAGAUAGAUAACUUCCGCUCCGAGUUAUCCCGCUUGCAAAGAGUUGAUGCUGACAGAUUCCUGCUGGUUGAGAAUUUAUAGGGUCAGUGUAACUCGCUACGACUUCAAAACAGGGAUCUUCACUCCGAUCGCAAACGUUUCUCCCGAUUGAAAGAUGAGUCCGAGAUUUCUGCCCAGCAUAUAAGGAAUAAACUUCUCGGGUAUGAUCAAAUGAGUCAAGACUUAAAAUGGACUCAGAUUCAGUUGUCGGGUCUUCAAAUAGCUCAUCAGUGUCAACAGGCUUCAUCCAGUGAGCAUAAGAAGCAUUGCCCCUCGAAUGAGUUUAAUGAACAGAAAUAUGAUGAGUUGGUUCUCAAGAUAAGUGAGAUGAGGUUUCUCUUUUGAAAUCCAAAGAAACCUUAAAAUUAGUUUUACCCACGCUCACAGCCGAACAAGGGAAAGUCCAAGAUUUGGAGGAGCAGAUCCAAAUGAAGCCGAAUGGAGUUAUUUAAUUUGAACACCAAGCUUAAUGAUGCUGAUGCUGAAUUGACUCGCCAACUGGAUGAGGAGAAAAAGAAGCAUGAGAAUGAGCUCACUGAGAAAGUCAAGGAAGGCGUGAAUGAGUUCAUAAGCAUGAGGAAAUCUAAACUCGCCGGGAAGAGUGCCGUAUCGGGAUCGACCAAUCUUGAAGAAUAGUUUCUGCCUUUUGCAGUGUUGCGCCACUACUGUGCCCCUUCUCUCAGGCUGUAAUUUACGUUUUGCUUGAACACCUUUGAGUUUUGGAUUAUAUGUUAUUUUGGGGUGUUGCGUCACCGAUAAGUACCUCCCUCCUUGAGACUUAUAGCUUUCAACAAUGUUUCACAUUUAUCUUUUAUGAAUAGUCGUUCAUAA